ACACGCAUGACACACUGCAUAUCAAUAAGCGGAGGAAAAGAAACUAACUAGGAUUCCCCUAGUAACGGCGAGUGAAGCGGGAAGAGCUCAAAUUUGAAAUCUUAAAGGGUUUCCCUUGACGAAUUGUAGUUUAAAGAAGUGUUUUCUGUUGGAGUUUUCGGUAAAAGUUCUUUGGAAUAGGACAUCAUAGAGGGUGAGAAUCCCGUAUUUGACCAUUUACUUUCCAGCUGUUGUGAUACACUUUCAAAGAGUCGGAUUGUCUGGGAAUGCAGUCCAAAAUGGGUGGUAAAUUUCAUCUAAAGCUAAAUAUUGGCGAGAGACCGAUAGCGAACAAGUACCGUGAGGGAAAGAUGAAAAGAACUUUGAAAAGAGAGUUAAACAGUACGUGAAAUUGUCAAAAGGGAAGCGUUUGACACCAGUGUUGUUUAGUUGAAAAUCAAUUCAAUAAUUUUUGAUUUUGAGUAGUAUUGACUUCAUCAGCUUGCUGCUUUCUUUUCGGAAAUUAUUGAAUGCACUUUUCAGUUAACAAGUCAACAUCAAUUUCUUUUGUUGUAAAAGGGUAAGAGGAAGGUGGCUUACGCUUCGGCGUAAGUGUUUAUAGCCUUUUACCUCUGCAAUCGGAGAGAUUGAGGACAGCAGCGUAGACUCUUCGGGGUUAGAUACACUUGUGCUAAGCUAUAGCCUUGUAUAGACAACUUGUUGACUAUGCUCAGUCAUGUAGCUUACUCGCUUGUGCUAUUUUACCUACGCUUAGGAUGUUGAGCGCAUGUCUCUCUCU
rnacentral:rRNA from 1 species